CGAACGCUGGCGGCAUGCCUAACACAUGCAAGUCGAACGGGAUCUUGACUUCGGUCAGGUGAGAGUGGCGGACGGGUGAGUAACACGUGGGAACCUGCCUUUUGGUUCGGGAUAACCGCGGGAAACUGCGGCUAAUACCGGAUACUCCCGAGAGGGGAAAGAUUUAUCGCCAGAAGAGCGGCCGAUGUUCGAUUAGCUAGUUGGUGGGGUAAAGGCUCACCAAGGCGACGAUCGAUAGCUGGUCUGAGAGGAUGAUCAGCCACACUGGAACUGAGACACGGUCCAGACUCCUACGGGAGACAGCAGUGGGGAAUUUUGGACAAUGGGGGCAACCCUGAUCCAGCCAUUCCGCGUGAGUGAAGAAGGCCUUCGGGUUGUAAAGCUCUUUCGGCAGGAACGAAACGGUCGUUGCUAAUACCAGCGGCUAAUGACGGUACCUGAAGAAGAAGCACCGGCUAACUACGUG
rnacentral:rRNA from 1 species